GUGGGGAAUAUUGGACAAUGGGCGAAAGCCUGAUCCAGCCAUGCCGCGUGAGUGAUGAAGGCCCUAGGGUUGUAAAGCUCUUUUGUGCGGGAAGAUAAUGACGGUACCGCAAGAAUAAGCCCCGGCUAACUUCGUGCCAGCAGCCGCGGUAAUACGAAGGGGGCUAGCGUUGCUCGGAAUCACUGGGCGUAAAGGGUGCGUAGGCGGGUCUUUAAGUCAGAGGUGAAAUCCUGGAGCUCAACUCCAGAACUGCCUUUGAUACUGAGGAUCUUGAGUUCGGGAGAGGUGAGUGGAACUGCGAGUGUAGAGGUGAAAUUCGUAGAUAUUCGCAAGAACACCAGUGGCGAAGGCGGCUCACUGGCCCGAUACUGACGCUGAGGCACGAAAGCGUGGGGAGCAAACAGGAUUAGAAACCCGUGUAGUCC
rnacentral:rRNA from 1 species